GAUGAACGCUGGCGGCGUGCCUAAUACAUGCAAGUCGAGCGAACGGACGAGAAGCUUGCUUCUCUGAUGUUAGCGGCGGACGGGUGAGUAACACGUGGAUAACCUACCUAUAAGACUGGGAUAACUUCGGGAAACCGGAGCUAAUACCGGAUAAUAUUUUGAUCCGCAUGGUUCAAAAGUGAAAGACGGUCUUUCUGUCUCUUAUAGAUGGAUCCGCGCUGCAUUAGCUAGUUGGUAAGUUAACGGCUUACCAAGGCAACGAUGCAUAGCCGACCGGAGAGGGUGAUAGGCCACCCUGGAACUGGGACACGGUCCAGACUCCUACGAGAGGCAGCAGUAGGGAAUCUUCCGCAAAGGGCGAAAGCCUGACGGAGCAACGCCGCGUGAGUGAUGAAGAUCUUCCGAUCGUAAAACUCUGUUAUUAGGGAAGAACAUAUGUGUAAGUAACUGUGCACAUCUUGACGGUACCUAAUCAGAAAGCCACGGCUAACUACGUG
rnacentral:rRNA from 1 species